rnacentral:rRNA from 1 species
GAGUAAUUCGUUUGAAGAUGAGCCCGCGCGAGAUUAGCUAGUUGGUAGGGUAAUGGCCUACCAAGGCUACGAUCUCUAGCUGGUCUGAGAGGAUGAUCAGCCACACUGGAACUGAGACACGGUCCAGACUCCUACGGGAGGCAGCAGUAGGGAAUAUUGCGCAAUGGGGGAAACCCUGACGCAGCGACGCCGCGUGAGUGAUGAAGGACUUCGGUUCGUAAAGCUCUGUCGCAGGGGAAUAAAUUCG